rnacentral:rRNA from 1 species
CGCAGCCGCGGUAAUUCCAGCUCCAAUAGCGUAUAUUAAAGUUGUUGCAGUUAAAAAGCUCGUAGUUGAAUUUUGGAUUCUUCCAAUUGGUCCAUCUUUUAGAUGAGUACUGGUUGUGUGGGGUCUAUCCGCCUGGUGAUACGUAAUGUCCUUUAUUGGAUGUUGCGGGUAGUCAGGACCUUUACCUUGAAAAAAUUAGAGUGUUUAAAGCAGGCUUAUGCCGGAAUACAUUAGCAUGGAAUAAUAGAAUAGGACGAAGUUGUUUUAUUUUGUCGGUUUCUAGGACAACCGUAAUGAUUAAUAGGGAUAGUUGGGGGCAUUAGUAUUCAAUUGUCAGAGGUGAAAUUCUUGGAUUUAUUGAAGACUAACUACUGCGAAAGCAUUUGCCAAGGAUGUUUUCAUUAAUCAAGAACGAAAGUUAGGGGAUCGAAGACGAUCAGAUACCGUCGUAGUCUUAACCAUAAACUAUGCCGACUAGGGAUCGGGCGAUGUUGUUUCCAUGACUCGCUCGGCACCUUAUGG